GGCAUACUUACCUCCAAGAACUUACCACCUUACUCUUGGGGAGACUCGAACUCGCAAACUCGAUUGGAAGUGGAGUUUGUUUAACAUAAGAGCAACCCUCUGGUUCUAUAACCUAUAAUAUAGAACAAGUAGGGGGAAAAAAUCUACUUUGUGUCAUGAACAUUAGCCAACAAACAAUACAUCAAACAUGUAGAAAAAUAUUUAAGCUAUGUAAAAUCGAGCAUAAGGCAUCAAGAAACGAGAGAAAUAAGGCAAGAAUUUGACCUCGAAUUGAGCAAAACAGCUUCAAAACUCGGUUAAAUAUAAAAUCCCAGGCUCAGCAAUUUACAGUUGAAAGCCGUGAACAAAGAACUCGAACCACAAAUAGGAAAAGGCGACGGAAUUCGGACGAAACUGAAACGGAUCUCCUUGCACAACGACCUCCGGCGACCUCGAAUCUGCGAUUGGAACCACGGAAAAAUAUUUGAAGGUAUGCGCUGGAAAUUGAAGGUAUGGUGGAGUCGGGGCUGUUUAUGGGCGUGUUGAGAGUGAUCGUCGUUUCAGUGAGGUGAAGAAGCAGGUCGCCGUUGUUGGUGUCAGGGUGUGUUGAUUCUUGGUGAAGAUGGCUGCCCUGGUGUCGUGAGGAAGAUGAUAUGCGGCGCUAGGUUUUCUCUGUUUUAUAUAUGUGUAGGUGAGGAACGUGCACUGCUGCCUAAGGAGAUUGAGAGAAUAUUUUGUGAUUAGGAGUGUUAAGAUAAAUGUACUAAAAAUAACAAUUGAAA
rnacentral:lncRNA from 1 species